UAAGUCAGAUGUGAAAGCCCAGGGCUCCCUUUUGGAACUGCAUUUGAUACUGGCAAACUAGAGUAUGGUAGAGGAAUGGGGAAUUUCUGGUGUAGCGGUGAAAUGCGUAGAGAUCAGAAGGAACACCAAUGGCGAAGGCAACAUUCUGGACCAAUACUGACACUGAGGGACGAAAGCGUGGGGAUCAAACAGGAUUAGAUACCCUGGUAGUCCACGCUGUAAACGAUGAGUACUAGCUGUUGGAUUCGGUGUAAAGGAUCUAGUGGCGUAGCUAACGCGUUAAGUACUCCGCCUGGGGACUACGGCCGCAAGGCUAAAACUCAAAGGAAUUGACGGGGACCCGCACAAGCGGUGGAGCAUGUGGUUUAAUUCGAUGCAACGCGAAGAACCUUACCUGGUCUUGACAUCCUGCGAACUUUCUAGAGAUAGAUUGGUGCCUUCGGGAACGCAGUGACAGGUGCUGCACGGCUGUCGUCAGCUCGUGUUGUGAAAUGUUGGGUUAAGUCCCGCAACGAGCGCAACCCCUAUUGAUAGUUACCAUCAUUAAGUUGGGUACUCUAUUGAGACUGCCGCUGACAAGGCGGAGGAAGGUGGGGACGACGUCAAGUCAUCAUGGCCCUUACGACCAGGGCUACACACGUGCUACAAUGGGUAUUACAGAGGGCAGCGAAGUAGCGAUAUGGAGCGAAACUCAGAAAGGUACUCUUAGUCCGGAUUGCAGUCUGCAACUCGACUGCAUGAAGUCGGAAUCGCUAGUAAU
rnacentral:rRNA from 1 species